UGAAUUGCACAAAACCGUUUCAAAAUAAACAAAGCCGAGGAAAAGUAAAUAUAAAUCAGCAAACUUUAAAUACGUAAAUCCGGUUACGUAAAAUCCAUCUGGAAUAAUGAUGGAGUCAUUUGUGAUCGAAGUGGCGAGAAUUCCCAUUGCAUGCGUCCGGCUUUCAAGACCUCCACGUGACUGCUUUUCCUCUGGGCCCUGAGAGAGAAACAGAACAGAACAUGUUGCAGAAUUUAUUUCCUGGGUGUGUGCCUCUCUCUCUCUUUGUGUGGCCUGUUUACACUGACUGCAACCUUAACAAUGUAGGCAGGUUAUUGAUUGAUUGAUUGAUUGAAUAAGCGAUUUAUACAUUUUUACAUAUUGGGUGGGCAUGUCCGCACCUAAAUUGAUUGGCAUGACGCCUCUGUCUUCCGUAAUCCAUAAAUAUGAUCAAAAGACUAUCAGGAAGACACAGACCGCAUGCACCAUGUGCAAGAAAUAGGCCUAAAUUUGUAAAACACACAUGUGGUGUGUAGACUGGCACGCACACAUGCAGACACACACACACACAGUUAUUCAGUGUCAUUUCAGAAUGGUUUUUUGCACUUUUAAGAGAUCACCUUCAUAGCAAGUGAUAAAAACUGAACUGUUAUGUAACCCUCAUUAGUUUCACAUACUUAAAGUGAAUAGUCCCUCACUUUAGCACUAGUAUUAGUAGUUGGGUAUUUGUAGACACUCCCUAAGACCCUCCUCGUGCGGAGAAACGAUCUUUUUUUCUUUUUCCCAGACUGACACCAUCCACCCAGAUACAGAGAUUAGACAGAGACAUUUGAUAAGAUUUAUGACAAAUAUCUUAUAAUCACUUAGGUUAAUACAACACAAAACUCAUAGAGUGAAGUAGAAGUUGACUGACAUCUUGAAGAUUCAUAAGAAGAGCUAGUUUGGUUUAUUUUGAACUUAUCCUGGCUGGAUUCGAAGUGUGGUCCGUCUACUAUUAGCCUGCCUGCGUUCGAUGGACUGAGAGGUUUCCUUCGAGAGUAGGACGUCAUCCCAUGGACUGAUUCUUUUCCCCACAAGAGUGUGGUAGGACGGGACAUGUUCUAAUCGGGACUGUAUGAUGAGAACUUUCAUAUUGAAACACGCAAAAAUUUUCCCCUUAGUACUCAUCUCAGCUCGAGCUAUAUAUAUAUAUAUAUAUUUUUUUUUUUUUCUCUCCAUUUUUCUUAAAUGAGAUCUCAUAUCAAAAAGACAUUCAUAUAUAUUUUUUGGGGUUGUUGGAUCCAACAUAGGGUGAUUUAUAUGAUCUGAAUUGAUAUUUCAUGUUGUUCAUUAUAUGUGUGCUACAAAAUAAGGUUGAACUUUUGUGUGCUACAAGAUAAGGUUGAAUUUUAUGAUCUGUAUUGCUAUUUCACAUUAUACACCACACGUUCUACUCGUGGUACUCUGAGAUUCACAUUGAUAUUUCAAAUACAACAUACACACAUACAUGUUCAUAUUCAUAUUCAACAUUUUUUUUCUAAUACACUGAUUUGAUGUGUCAAUGCUGUUAAUACAAUCUUAUCUUUGACACAUGA